CUUUUCAUUUUUUUAAUGUGUCACGCGACGACGUACUGUUACGCUGAUGCCAAUGUUCAGAACCUCGAAACGUUGCAUGUCACAUGUCGACUCUCACCUUCUGUUCCUCUACAAUCCAAGGGACACCAAACAUAUCCAAAAUUAAUGACGUCACUACAGCAACCAAGCAGGAGUCAAGACCAACAUGAAUGGAGCAAAUAGAAGGCAGGCAACGGAAGAGGUUAUAGUAAGAGUACAGUAUUUAUUUAUAAUGUAUAAAUUAUUCCUUAUUAACUAAAAGCAAAUGAGGGUAGCGCCAAUAUUUGUACAACAUUAAUACUGUAAAAAGAUUGAUGUCUUUAAUCCAAAUUUUGAGCUAAAGCAGAACUAGGGAUGAAAAAAAAAACAAUACACAAGUAAUGGCACCCUCUUGUGUCAGAAAAGUAAACGGCACGAUUUCCUUGAUUGCACAUUCUGUCCCUUCAAACACACUGUCGUCACAACACGCUCUUGGUAUACUGAAAUUAUUUGACUCCGUGGAGCGUUUACAUAGUGACGUAAACCUUUACAAAAAACCUUUAGGUACAGGGGUACAUGGCAGACACACAAACACCCUCCUUUUCACCUGAACGAUUUGUCUCAUAUUGGUGAUAAUUGAAGGCUAAGUCUAAUGGCCUUGCGUCCCGCUAACAUGAGGCAGUAGACAGACAGACACACAGACAUACACACACACACACACACACACACACACACACACACACACACACACACACA